rnacentral:tRNA from 1 species
CAGAAGUGACUUGUUUGGUAUCUGAUUCUUGCACUCAGGCCCAAGACAACCUGACAUUUUAGGAGAUGCUCUGUCAGAAUUGGAUCUCUGAGUGGAGUGGCUCUUGAUAGGGAUCCCUGUUAACUGUGACUAGAAUCCUGAGAAGAGAAAAACCUUCCUGAAAUGGGCAUAUCCCUGGCUGGCCUGGAACCAACCUUUCGGACUUAGGACUAUCGGAAGAAUGGGGGAGAUUCUCUAGUGAUGAUAAUACAUGAACGCUUUAAAAGCUAGAACAGGCGACCCUGGGUGGUCUUGAACUACCCACCGUUCGGUUAAUAGCCGAACGCGCUGACCGAUUGCGCCACAGAGACAGGUACUAGUGAUUCCACUGGGCGCUAUAGGCAGGGCGCACUCAUCGAACUCCCCCAUCCCUUCCAGCCUCAGGGCCCGCCUGGUAGGGCUACUGAGCAAGGCCUUGGAAAACCGGAGCGAUUAGAGCGGUUCAAACAAUACAGAAGUGUAUAAAGUAAGAAUUGAAAGUCUCUUCGCUGCUCUAAUCUCACUCCUCAGAGGUGAUCACUGUGUGGAAGAUGAUCAAAGUAUGACAUUUCUUCUACCCUAGAGGUUGGCAUUUCUGCAGGCACAAAUGAGCUUGGUUUUCAAGCACCAGUCUUUGAACACAAGGAAUUCUUUUAAUGAUCACGCCGGACUAUAUAGACUUUGGAAUCAGACUCUUUGAAUUCCAGCUCUGCCAUUUACCAACUUUGACACUUUGGACAGGGUCUCAUUCUGUCACCCAGGCUGGAGUGCAGUGGCACGAUUAUAGCUCACUGCAACCUCAAACACCUGGGCUCAAGCAAUCCUUCCACCUCUGCCUCCUGAGUAAUUGGGACUACAGGCGUGUGCCACCACGCCCAGCUAAUUUUUAAUUUUUAAUUUUUUUGUAGAGAUGGAGGUCUUGCUAUGUCACCCAGGCUGGUCUUGAACACCUGGCCUCAAGUGAUCCUCUGGCUUCGGUCUCUCAAAGCUCUGGGAUUACAGACAUGAGCCACUGCACCCGGCUCUGUCUCCCCUUCCUAUGUGUGUUAGCUCUAGAACAAGAGAAGCCUUGUUGAGAUUCAUGGCUGCCCACCCCCCAUCACCUCUCUGACUUUGGGCAAGUUGCCUGGCCUCUCUCAGCCUUUAUUUUCUUUUUGUGAAAUGGGAAUAAUAAUAGUACUUGCCUCACAGGCAAAAUGUUGUGAGAACUAAACGAGAAAAUGCACAUAAAGCACUUGGCACUUAGUUCUUUUUAUGAUUAUAAUGAUAAUCAGACACAAUAAAUUAUUUCUCACAUCACAUGCUGUUUAGCUUAUUCACUGUUCGAUUUUUCCUGAAGUCAGUUCAGUGUGUAGCAUCCAGAAUUGAACAAAACACUCCCGAUAUGACCUGAUAGUGCAAAGUAAACUAUCAUCUUCUUCAUUCUAGGUUUUAUGUUUUUAUUAAUGCAGUCUAAAGGUAGGAUAUGAGUUGUUUUGUUCGUGUAUCUUUUUUUUUUUUUUUUUGCCGGGAUGGGGAAUGACUAUCUCCAAUUAAACUGCUCAGUAAAAUCUCU